UGUGAAGACAAGUGUAACAGCACACGUGCCGAUACAUCCACUACUCUGUCAAAAGCAAAAGUAAGGGUCGAACGUACUAUAGAUUUGAUGGACUUGUUUUGACUCUCAAAUUCUUCAGUCGGCCUUAUACUCUGGAGGAAACCAGAAAACCCUCUAGCCCAGUUCAAGAAUAAGCCUGUGGAAAGUUACUUCUUCAAAAGCAAAAGUAUCCCAUAUCAUCUCUUCUCAUUUUUCUUCUAUUUAUCCUUCAUGCUGCCUGCAAGAUAGGGAGAAUGUGAACAAUCAGCCGGAACUCGAAAUCAAAGUUCUGAUUAGGGACUGAUUGCUUGGAGCUCUAAUUGCUUACCUUGUCUGUCACCUCUUUCAGCAGAUCCCCUAGCUCGGCGACUUGG
rnacentral:lncRNA from 1 species